ensembl:processed_transcript
GAAGUGGUGCAGCUGGCGAUAAAACUCUCUUCAUCGCGUCUACCAGCUCCUGAAUUGGAUCGGGAUUGCUCAUGCUGUUAACUUUAAAGGUCCGGGCUUCUGUUAGGAAACGGACGGACAAACAGGUAUGGAUGAUGAUAUAGAUGCUGACCGAAUACACACACCAGAUGAGUAGGGGAUGGGACAGAACGAUGGAGCACCCACCAGAUGAGUUACGGAGACGACAACGAGGAAACACACACCUCCAACUGGAACACGGGGCUGACUGGACAAACUGGAGACAAAACAGAGAUUAGGUAA